AGGUAGCGUGAAUUCAGGCUACAAAUCUGAGUGCUGACCUCUUUGUGAUGACAAAUUCUCAGCACUUGCAGUCACUGACCACAUGCAAGCUUGGCUGGGAGCCCGACAUCUCACCAGCAUUUCCACAGACCAAACGGCACAUGUGGCAGAGCCUGGAAAACUGCUUGCAAGCUGUGUGACCUUGGGGCUGCUGUGAGCCGUGGCAUAUGAAACACCUGGGCCUAACACAGAGUAAGUGUUCGCUGCACACUGUUAUUUAUAUGGGGAUCUGAAAAUCUCCCAGCCAGGUAGAUAUUGUGACCUCCAUUUCAACAAUGAGGAACCCAAGCCACGCAAAGAUAGAGCACUUUGUGCAGCUCACAGUAGCAAGCGGGAACUCCUACCAAACUGCCUGCUUCCCAU
rnacentral:lncRNA from 1 species